GAUGAACGCUAGCGGCAGGCUUAACACAUGCAAGUCGAGGGGCAGCAUGUCGGAACCUUCAGGUUCUGAUGAUGGCGACCGGCGCAAGGGUGCGUAACGCGUGAGUAACCUGCCUUUCAGAGUGGAAUAACAUUUGGAAACGAAUGGUAAUACCGCAUAAUGUCAUGGGACCGCAUGAUCCUAUGACCAAAGGAGCAAUCCGCUGAAAGAUGGACUCGCGUCCGAUUAGCUAGUUGGAGAGGUAACGGCUCCCCAAGGCAACGAUCGGUAGCCGACCUGAGAGGGUGAUCGGCCACGAUUGGAACUGAGACACGGUCCAGACUCCUACGGAGCAGCAGUGGGAAUAUUGGUCAAUGGUCGGAAGACUGAACCAGCCAAGUAGCGUG
rnacentral:rRNA from 1 species